rnacentral:lncRNA from 1 species
CGCGACACCAUUCACUCUCUCAGUCUCACUCACACUCUGCUGUAAUUUUCGGGAGGAGAUUUGGAAGAUUCUCGCUGUCUUCGUAGUCAAGGCUAAGUCAAGUUACAGCACUUAAAAUAUUGUUUUCCCCCUGAGGACGCUCUUGGAGGUUGCUGCAAUGGAGCAGAAAUUGGCAGACCCCACCUUCAACAAACACGUGGUUGGCGUGGUGGCAGAAAUUGGAGGAAGAACAUUGGAUGAAGCCACCAGAAGAAUGAUGGCCUUCCUUUUAGACCACUCCCUAUCAAGAGAGUACAAUUUUGUUGGCUGCCAUGGAAAGCGAGAUUUCGAUGUUCAAACUGUUUGAGGUUGUAUAUGGAAGCUUGAAAAAAAAUGCCCUUACAAACCAGAUUACUAGAAGAGAUGCUGAAAAGGCAGUGUCAAAGUGGCUAAUUGGUGCCAGGGACAGGGGAGGAAACCGUACAGCGAGGGCACGUGGUGGAGAGCAAGAUGGGGCCGUUGGGAGAGCGACAACAGAGGACUGAGAUUCUGCACUUUUGUUUUUGUAUGUGAAAUAUAGAGUUUUCUGACAGAGGACUGUAAAACUGCACUUUUGUUUUGUUUGUGAAAUAUAAAGUUUGUCAAAAGCCUUCACUUUUGAUACUUGUCUGUUAAUACACAUAUGUUAAUAAAUGUUCUG